rnacentral:lncRNA from 1 species
AGAAAACAACAUUACCACCUCCAUCUCUUCCUGUCUGGUCCCAUAGAAAACAACAUUACCACCUCUCUUCUGUCUGGUCCCAUAGAAAACAACAUUCCACCUCCUCUCUUCCUGUCUGGUCCCAUAGAAAACAACAUUACCUACCACCCUCUUGGGGGUCCCAUAGAAAACAAAUUACCAUUUCUUGUUGGUAUAGAAAACAAAAACACAUUCUCCUGUCUGGUCCCAUAGAAAAACAUUACCACCUCCUCUCUCCUGUCUGGUCCCAUAGAAAACAACAUUACCAU